CCGUGCCUUUGUGCGCUGGCUGCCGGCGGAGUAUGAGGACGGCUUCUCUCUUCCCUACGGCUGGACGCCCGGGGUCAAGCGCAACGGCUUCCCGGUGGCUCUGGCUCGCGCGGUCUCCAACGAGAUCGUGCGCUUCCCCACUGAUCAGCUGACUCCGGACCAGGAGCGCUCACUCAUGUUCAUGCAAUGGGGCCAGCUGUUGGACCACGACCUCGACUUCACCCCUGAGCCGGCCGCCCGGGCCUCCUUCGUCACUGGCGUCAACUGCGAGACCAGCUGCGUUCAGCAGCCGCCCUGCUUCCCGCUCAAGGUGGCCCUGCUUCCCGCCCACUGCCUGGGUUGGGAGAGGGGAGAUUGUUUCUGGAAGGGGCCAUCUCCCUUCUGUGCCCAGGUUUCCUUUCCCAGACGCUGAGGAAGGCUGGCCCUGCCUCCCUUGUGUCCACAGCACUGGCUGCUCAGCUAUGACCUGUCUCCUUCCUGC
rnacentral:sRNA from 1 species